rnacentral:lncRNA from 1 species
GGGGGGAGUAGCUGGGAGGCAGGCAGCCUCCCUCCCCUCCUGCCAGGCCCGCAAGCGCCGCGGGCUGGCCCUACCUCCUGCUCCAUCAGCAGGGCAGCCCGCAUAGGUUCACACCAGCCAAACAUGGCCCUUUGCCCAUGUUUUUUCCACCCAGCUAGGAACAAAGACCGAUCCUGCCAAACUCGCGGCGACUCCUACACAAGCAGGUUAUUCUUGCCACUCCAGGAAAGACAACGCAUGCGGCCCUAUUAAAUCCAGGGCCUUCAAAGCAAAGUCAACACGCGUGGCAGCGCUUCGGUCGAGGGAGAUGGAAAAUCCUCGGGCUCCUCCAAUACUUACUGGCACACCUCCGUCCCAUUGAGCAAAGUCUCGCACUUGCCCCCGUUGAGGCAGGACUCGGCCGGCUGCGUGCAUCGCUGGGCUGAGGCUCGCAGCGGCGGAGGGGCUGCGCCUGGUUAUCUCCCCAACGAGGGGCCUGGAGCCAUCAAGAUCUGCUCCAAACAAUCGCUUCCUUUCCCAGGCACCUUCCAAAAAAAAAAAAAAAAAAAAAGAACAAAACCCCCAACAAUAAUAGAAGAAAAAAAAAACGCGCAGACUUUUCCCAGUGCUGCCGCGUUUCCCUGCCUUGUGUUUUCCUGCCCCCACACAUCUUCCUCGCUCAGGGAUUGUCCCCAGCUGGCUGGCGUGGGGCUCUCCACCACUCCAGGCCGUUCCUCAGGGCCGGCUGGGAUUUAUUUUGCCGUAAGCCGGGAGGCAGAGACGCUUGUUCGGCAUGAGUGCAGUGCAGGAGAAAUGGCAAGCGUGGUGCAGAGCAGGGCCCACGCCAACAGGAGCGAGUUUGCCCGUUCUCAGCUCCACGCACAGCGCUUGCAGGAGGCAUUUCUGUCCAGCCCAUAGGACCAAAAAAUCCGGUGGUGGCAGGGGGGACACAGAGCAGAGCCCUGGCCAUGGCACACCCCAUAACACACCCCAUAACGCACCGAACCCUGGAGUGCUCCUGGGGGAGGGCGGCUGCGUGUCCCCAUUUUUCUGGGGGAGCCACGGGACCAGAUGAGCAAAAAUCUGCCAGGUCCCUGCUGUAGGGACAAAUCCUGUCUGAUAGGGACAGAUCCUGCCCACGGGGCCGGGGCCGUGCCUCUGCUGCCAGCUCCCACAGCUCCGUUUCCAUCGUGCCCCGCCUGAGCCCUGCACCUCCCCCAGCUGCCCGAGCGCUCGGGUGGCUUUAAUA